rnacentral:lncRNA from 1 species
UAUAUUCAAAUUUUCUGUUAGUCGUAAUUCUCUCUAAGAAGAACCUUCUCGAACCCUAACCCCCCAUUGAUGAAAACCUUCAUUUUCUCUAAGUUUGCUUGUUAACAUGGUAUCAGAGCAGGAAUUUUGUUAGCUCCCAUUCUCCUGUAUUGUUUGAUGUUACCCUUGUCCGAUUUCGUGAUGUUUUUCUAUCUUCAUCAAAGAUCUACGUCUUCACCGAUUUGAAGAGAUUCUAUGGCAUUUUUCUCGAAUCUUCAAACUUGAUCGAAGAACCUAGGGUUUCUCUAUCAGACCAAGGGUUCAUGCUGCUAAAGGUCUUUGCUUCUUCAGGUCGCGAAGAAGUCUGGUAUUUUCGUUCCUCUGUUGUUUGUUUUUUUCAUUAUGUGAAAUGUGUUGAAUUGAUCUCUUUUGAACAUUUGGUAGUUGAUGUUAUAUGGUUGAUAUGGUAGUCUCGAUCCUCUUAUGGACUCUUCAUCUUCCUCAUUUGUUUAUACACCUGAACCCUCUUCCCCGUUAUUUUUUCUCUCUUCUGAUUUACUUGAAGUUUCUCUUGUUGCGGUACCAUUCUCUGGGAAUGUGUUUG